rnacentral:rRNA from 1 species
UAACGGCGAGUGAAGCGGUAAAAGCUCAAAUUUGAAAUCUGGUACUUUCAGUGCCCGAGUUGUAAUUUGUAGAAUUUGUUUUUGAUUUGGUCCUUGUCUAUGUUCCUUGGAACAGGACGUCAUAGAGGGUGAGAAUCCCGUUUGGCCGAGGAUACCAUUUCUUUGUAAAACUUUUUCGAAGAGUCGAGUUGUUUGGGAAUGCAGCUCAAAGUGGGUGGUAAAUUCCAUCUAAAGCUAAAUAUUGGCGAGAGACCGAUAGCGAACAAGUACAGUGAUGGAAAGAUGAAAAGAACUUUGAAAAGAGAGUGAAAAAGUACGUGAAAUUGUUGAAAGGGAAGGGCAUUUGAUCAGACAUGGUUGNNNNNNNGCAUGCACUCGCCUCUCGUGGGCUUGGGCCUCUCAAAAAUUUCACUGGGCCAACAUCAGUUUUGGCGGUAGGAUAAAUCAUUAGGAACGUAGCUUCUUCGGGAGUAUUAUAGCCUAGUGGAAUACUAUCAGCCGGGACUGAGGACUGCGCUUUAUGCAAGGAUGU